CCUACGGGAGACAGCAGUGGGGAAUAUUGCACAAUGGGGGAAACCCUGAUGCAGCGACGCCGCGUGAAGGAAGAAGUAUUUCGGGAUGGAAACUUCUAUCAGCAGGGAAGAAAAUGACGGUACCUGACUCGGAAGCCCCGGCUAACUACGGGCCAGCAGCCGCGGGAAGACGUAGGGGGCAAGCGUUAUCCGGAUUUACUGGGUGUAAAGGGAGCGUAGGCGGUUUAGCAAGUCAGAGGGGAAAGCCCGGGGCUCAACUCCGGGACUGCUUUUGAAACUGUUGAACUAGAUUGCAGGAGAGGUAUGUGGAAUUCCUAGUGUAGCGGUGAAAUGCUUAGAUAUCAGGAGGAACACCAGUGGCGAAGGCGGCUUACUGGACUGUAAAUGACGCUGAGGCUCGAAAGCGUGGGGAGCAAACAGGAUUAGAUACCCCUGUAGUC
rnacentral:rRNA from 1 species